rnacentral:rRNA from 1 species
GCAGUCGAGCGAAUGGAUUAAGAGCUUGCUCUUAUGAAGUUAGCGGCGGACGGGUGAGUAACACGUGGGUAACCUGCCCAUAAGACUGGGAUAACUCCGGGAAACCGGGGCUAAUACCGGAUAACAUUUUGAACCGCAUGGUUCGAAAUUGAAAGGCGGCUUCGGCUGUCACUUAUGGAUGGACCCGCG